UGUAACUAUUGUCGCCUGUGGAUGAGCUAAUGGAUUCACUUUGAGCUCGUAGAAAGGACACGGUGUCGUGGGGAUCCCAGGCAGUCCUCUGACAUCUGACAUACCGCCAGCUUGCCUAAGGAUGUUAUUUCUUUGAGGGGGGCGUCAAGACACAAAACCUUUUCCUUUAAGGGAUUUGCUCACCCAGGAGGAGAUUUGAUGGUACUUACGGACUGGGGCUUCACUCCGCAUCUGCCUCUCCGUGAGAGCCUGUCUCCCCAGGCUGGCUGGUCCUCAGGACACAGGUGCUGCUGUUGUGGCUGCGUGCAUCCUAUGUGUGGCGACUCCACCUUCCAGCUAAAAUCCCAGCAAAGGGUCUCAUCCGGAGGCCCCGGGGCACACUUCUUUCAUCCGUGUGCCUUCCCUCGUUCUCUCGGGGUCCAGAGCAGCGAGGAAGGAAUGAAGAACCUGGGUCUGCCACCGUCUGUCGGUCCUCACCGCUGCAUCUCAGCUAAGGCUGCAGAAGUCAGUGCAGUAGCGGAACUGGCUAGGGCUCCUCGCGGUUGCCACGGUAACCAGGAGCAGGCUCCUGCCCUGGUGGCGGAGGAAGGCUGUGGAGAAAAGUCUACACACAUAGGAGCAUCUUAAGGGUUAGAAAUUCCAGCACUAUGCAAGGCUUCCUGCCCCAGAGGAUCCUGCUGCACACAGAGCGGAAUGUUUGCUAGGCUCGCUCUUGAAAACAGAACUCCCAGCGGGACAGCUGCGGGUGAGCUGGAGGAGCCAGCAAAGGGACCAAGCAAGGGAUGAUGAUGAGUGGGUCACAUCCUCUCUGAUCUGUAAGAUGAAAGACACAUAGAUGUCUUAGGAAAAGCUUAUCAAACUAAGUUGUUCUUGUUACUACUAUGAUCAUGAUGGUGGUGAAUGUAGACUAUGGUCCCCAAAUACGCAGUCCCAAAGGCCAUAAUCCUAAGUGAUAAAAUAGCUCUAAAUUCUAAAGCCCCGAAAGAGUAACACCUUAACAAUGUCAUUAUUCUGGAAAAUUAUUCGAUUUCUUUUUCUUCUCUCUGAUUUAAAAGGCAAGGGUCUCAUCAAAUACACAAGGCUGGCUUUGAACUUGCUGUGUAUUAAUAGUCAAGGGUGGCUUCGAACACUUGACCCUCAAACAAACAAAAACAACAAUAAAAUACUAGGGAGAAAAAAUUCAAGUGAGAACUUGGGGAGGUAACUCAGUUGGUGGAGCGAUUAUCUAAUAUGUAUAAGGUCCUAGAUUCUAUAUCCAACAAUGGGGGAAUUACUAAAAUUGGAUGGACAAAAAAGUAUAUUUCAAGAAUAGAUCAAGCCUGUUAUAGUGGCUCGUGCCUUUAAUCCCAGCACUUGGGAGACAGAAGCAGGUGGUUCUCUUUGAGUUUGAGGCCAGCCUGGUCUAUAUAGUAAAUUCCAGGACAGCCAGAGCUAUACAGUGAGACUCUAUCUCCAAUAAAUAAAUAAAUAAAUAGAUAAAUA
rnacentral:lncRNA from 1 species